UAUUUAUUCUGUCUCUUCGAAUGACGACUGACCGUUGCAAUCUCGAAAUGAACAGAGAGAUAAAAAGAAAUGUAGAAGGAGAAGAAAUAUGAUGACUCUGUGCUAACUAUGAUAAAGGACCGUUAAUUAUAGUAUAUAUAAUCGUUUUUUAUUUAACAAUUAGAUAAAUGAAGGGAAUAGAAAGAGAUAUCAUAGAUGAUUCAGAUAUCUUGAAAGACAUAAAAGACGUUCAAAAAGAUUUAUGAAAACAACAUUUAUUCGCAUGAUAUAAUAAAGAAAACUAUGCAAUAAUGUAACACUGUCAAAAGCAUAAUAAGCAUAAAUAAUGUAAAUGUCUUAAUAAAAGGAGAGACAGGUAGAUAUAUAUAUAUAUAUACACAUAUAUAUAUAUAUAUAUAUAUAUAUAUAUAUAUAUAUAU